CGUGNGUAACCUGCCCAUAANAGGGGGAUAAUCCAUGGAAACGUGGACUAAUACCGCAUAUUGUAGUUAAGUUGCAUGACUUGAUUAUGAAAGAUUUAUCGCUUAUGGAUGGACUCGCGUCAGAUUAGAUAGUUGGUGAGGUAACGGCUCACCAAGUCAACGAUCUGUAGCCGAACUGAGAGGUUGAUCGGCCGCAUUGGGACUGAGACACGGCCCAGACUCCUACGGGAGGCAGCAUG
rnacentral:rRNA from 1 species